GUGGCCAUACAGAGUACCUUGAAUCCAACGUUGUUCAUUGGACGAUAAACAAGUCAGUAUUUGAGCUGGCUUGCCUCUCUCUCUUCAAAUUAUGUAUUCUCUUCUUCGUCUUUGUGAAGUUGGAAGACAUUGCUAUGAAACAGGUUGAGGAUCCUUACAACCAAACAUUGAAAAGAAACAAAGCUAUUUUACAUAUUAUAACUCUUCUUGUGAGUUUUCUCAGCCUUGCCUACACAACAACAAAAGGAGUUUUUGUACUUGUGAAUAUGAGUUAUCGCGAUAUGCACGUGACCUACAGUGCUUGCUGCAUUGCGGCAUUCACUUUCUCCAUCAUUGAGUUCCUCCUUUGUAUUCUUUAUCCUGUGUUUCUACGCAAGUUGAAAGUCAUCGAAUCAAGCGUAGUUACAAUGAUGAGGGUGUAGAAGUGGAUGAAGAUGGUAAAGCAAAAACCGAAAAAAAUUGAUAUCAAAAGAUUAAUGUCACUUUGCAAACCGGAUGCAUUAUUGCUGUUUUUUGCUACGAUAGCUCUUGUAAUCUCAAGUCUCGCUAACAUGGCUGCACCAUUAUUCUUUGGCAGAGUUAUUGACGUGGCCUUGAAUCCAAACCACACAAUGGCGCAAGUGAACGAACAGGUGUUAAUUCUGUUCCUGAUAUUCGUUGCUGGGGCUAUUGGUGCUACAUUUAGAGCUUGGCUGUUCACUCUUGUCGGAAUCCGCGUUGUUUGCAGAAUCAGACGCCAGUUGUUCAGUGCAAUUAUGCAACAGGAAAUUGCCUUUUUUGAUACAACCAGGACUGGUGACUUGACCAAUAGGCUGUCUUCUGAUACUGGUGUUGUGCAGAAUGCUGUGACUGUGAAUAUAUCUAUGUUAUUGAGGUACUUAUUUCAAAUCUUUGGUUCCUUGAUAAUUAUGUUUAAACUGAGUCCUUCACUGACUGGUGUAUUAUUUGCUGCUGUACCAGUGGUAGCGAUAGGAGCUACCCAGUAUGGUAAAUUUGUGAUGGGCAUUCAAAAGAAAUUUCAGGAUGAAUUGGCUGCUGCUGGAACCACUGCAGAAGAAUGUAUCUCUAGUGUACGUACAGUGCGGUCUUUUACAGGCGAGUCCAAAGCAUGUGCUACAUAUGGAAAGGAUAUCAACAAAAGCUAUGUCCAAGGGAGGAAAUUGGCUGCAUCUUCUGGUGCAUUUCAAGGACUAGUGGGCAUAGUGGCACAAGGCGCUGUCACAUUGGUAUUGUGGUAUGGUGCCAAGUUGUUAUUUCAGGGGAACAUCACAGUUGGUACUUUGACAUCUUUUAUGCUUUACACAAUGAACGUUGCCAUGGCAUUUGCUUUCCUCUCCUCACUUUAUGGCGACUUUAUGAAAGCUGUCGGUGCAUCAAUCAGUAUCUUCAAUUUAAUGGAUAGAGUACCUGAAGUGACGAAUGAAGGCGGUGAAAAGAUACAACCCUUUCCUUGUCAAGUGGAUUUUAAAAAUGUUAGUUUCACCUAUCCAUCAAGACCGGAUACGAAAGUGCUCAAGGAUAUCACUUUCUCGAUGAAACCAGGUAGCGUUGUGGCUUUGGUUGGACCCUCUGGUGGUGGCAAAUCUACCAUAGUCAAUUUGAUUGAAAGAUUUUAUGUACCUGAUACAGGAAACAUUAUGUUAGGUGGUGUUAAUAUGGCUGGCUUAGAUCCCCAAUGGUUCAGAAAAAAUAUAUCCAUGGUUAGCCAGGAACCAGUGCUGUUUGCAUGUUCCAUUAAAGAUAACAUUACAUAUGGAACUGAUGCUACUGAUGAAGAGAUAGAGGACGCUGCUAGACAGUCCAAUGCACAUGAAUUCAUAACAACAUUUGAAGAAGGAUAUGAUACUCUGGUUGGUGAGAGAGGUGUUCGGUUGUCAGGGGGACAGAAGCAGAGGGUUGCCAUAGCGAGAGCACUGAUUAUGAACCCAAGUAUUCUACUAUUGGACGAGGCAACCAGUGCAUUGGAUGCUGAGAGUGAACAUUUGGUAAAGGAGGCAAUUGAUAGAGCCAUGGAAGGCAGAACAGUGUUGGUGAUAGCACAUAGGUUAUCUACAGUUAGGAAUGCAUCAGAGGUUAUAGUAAUCAACAAAGGUGAGGUUGCAGAAAGAGGAACACAUGAAGAGUUGAUAAACAAAGGGGGAGUCUAUAAAAAACUGGUUUUACGACAGCUAAGUGCGGGUACCUUGACAACCAAAGCUGAUAUUAACAUCAAUGCUGCUGAUGAUGAUAUUGAUACUAUUGAUGAAGAUUUUGAACUGGAUGAUGAUUCUCAAGAAAUGAAAUCAUAGAAAAUAUCCAAAACUUAACACCUGUCAGUCAUCUAUCGACAUUACUGAUUGUCUAUUGCCGUUUUUACCUUGCCGUAUAGGUGAAGGACAAGGCAUAUGAGUGGAAAAUUUCUGUUGUAAAACUUUUUACUUGUGGUUACGCUAACUCAAAUAGUUUUUUUAUUCAAUAUAUUUCAAGUUUGGAAAAUAAUAUUACCAAAUUUUGAAUUUAAUUAAGUUAAUUUGUUUUUGUUAUAUGUAUAUGACAGUGUACUUUCCCCACCAAAUCAGGCUAAUAUUUUAUUUUGCUUAUAUAUAUUAAUGUACUAUUAUUUGGAAACUUUUAUAAAAUUCAUGUUAUAUUAUUCUAUAAGGGACAUUGAGAUUAAUUCAGUACAUGUAGUAUUUAUUGAGGAACAAGUUGGCUAGUAUUUUCCUUGCCACAUGUUGUUUAGAUAUGUUGCUGUACUAUUAUUUUUUUAAGAAUCAUGAACUAUUCUGUUAGGGACAUUGAGGUUAAUUAAUUAAUUAAUUAAUUAAUUAAUUAAUUAAUUAAUUUUGUGUAAUGUGUAAUUUUGAUGAUUGUUUUUGUCUGUUUUAGAGCAGAAUUGUUCCCAACUAAAUAUCAGCCAAUAUAUUAUUGCAUCAUUUCAAAACUGUUGUACUUGCUUUUAACAUGCAAUAAAAAUAUUGUGCAUUGUUCUGUAUCCAUCCAUGCAUUUCUUACCUAAUCCAGGUUCUCAAUGGGCAAGGUUGUAAUAGUUAUGCUAUGUUUUUAUUAUAAUAAUACUUCGAAUAUCAAUUUUGUUUAUUGCCCCAUUUGAUAACAUUUUCAUUCGAUAUUGUCUUUUAUUGUUGGUACACAUAUAAGUUAAAAGUACAGGCUCAGAAAGUACAGGUAAAGGGUCUAGUGUUCUAUCAAAACCUUUUCAUAUUGUGUUAAAUCUUUGGAAGUCAGCAGAAUCAUUUUGUUUUUAUCUUGUGUGCACUUGUAAAAUAGCAAAUACUAAUUAAAAUAAUUACUUGUUGCAUCUGAUAAUUUAGUUCUAUUUAUGUAAAUUAUUCAUUCAGUUCUGUUCAAACCAUUGUUUCUUGUAAAUUUGAAAUAUUUGUUUGCCUCAAUUGUAAUUAUUGCGAGGGGGAAUGUAAAAGAAAUAAUAGGUUGGUUUUAUUGA